GGGUUGUGAGGUUAAGCGACUAAGCGUACACGGUGGAUGCCCUGGCAGUCAGAGGCGAUGAAGGACGUGCUAAUCUGCGAAAAGCGUCGGUAAGGUGAUAUGAACCGUUAUAACCGGCGAUGUCCGAAUGGGGAAACCCAGUGUGAUUCGUCACACUAUCGUUAACUGAAUACAUAGGUUAACGAGGCGAACCGGGGGAACUGAAACAUCUAAGUACCCCGAGGAAAAGAAAUCAACCGAGAUUCCCCCAGUAGCGGCGAGCGAACGGGGAGCAGCCCAGAGUCUGAAUCAGCUUGUGUGUUAGUGGAACGGUCUGGAAAGUCCGACGGUACAGGGUGAUAGUCCCGUACACCAAAAUGCACAGGUUGUGAACUCGAAGAGUAGGGCGGGACACGUGGUAUCCUGUCUGAAUAUGGGGGGACCAUCCUCCAAGGCUAAAUACUCCUGACUGACCGAUAGUGAACCAGUACCGUGAGGGAAAGGCGAAAAGAACCCCGGCGAGGGAGUGAAAAGAACCUGAAACCGUGUACGUACAAGCAGUGGGAGCACCUUCGGGUGUGACUGCGUACCUUUGUAUAAUGGGUCAGCGACUUAUAUUCUGUAGCAAGGUUAACCGUAUAGGGAGCCGCAGGGAAACCGAGUCUUAACUGGGCGUUAAGUUGCAGGGUAUAGACCCGAAACCCGGUGAUCUAGCCAUGGGCAGGUUGAAGGUUGGGUAACACUAACUGGAGGACCGAACCGACUAAUGUUGAAAAAUUAGCGGAUGACUUGUGGCUGGGGUGAAAGGCCAAUCAAACCGGGAGAUAGCUGGUUCUCCCCGAAAGCUAUUUAGGUAGCGCCUCGUGAACUCAUCUUCGGGGGUAGAGCACUGUUUCGGCUAGGGGGUCAUCCCGACUUACCAACCCGAUGCAAACUACGAAUACCGAAGAAUGUUAUCACGGGAGACACACGGCGGGUGCUAACGUCCGUCGUGAAGAGGGAAACAACCCAGACCGCCAGCUAAGGUCCCAAAGUCAUGGUUAAGUGGGAAACGAUGUGGGAAGGCACAGACAGCCAGGAUGUUGGCUUAGAAGCAGCCAUCAUUUAAAGAAAGCGUAAUAGCUCACUGGUCGAGUCGGCCUGCGCGGAAGAUGUAACGGGGCUAAACCAUGCACCGAAGCUGCGGCAGCGACACUAUGUGUUGUUGGGUAGGGGAGCGUUCUGUAAGCCUGCGAAGGUGACCUGUGAGGGUUGCUGGAGGUAUCAGAAGUGCGAAUGCUGACAUAAGUAACGAUAAAGCGGGUGAAAAGCCCGCUCGCCGGAAGACCAAGGGUUCCUGUCCAACGUUAAUCGGGGCAGGGUGAGUCGACCCCUAAGGCGAGGCCGAAAGGCGUAGUCGAUGGGAAACAGGUUAAUAUUCCUGUACUUGGUGUUACUGCGAAGGGGGGACGGAGAAGGCUAUGUUAGCCGGGCGACGGUUGUCCCGGUUUAAGCAUGUAGGCUGGUUAUCCAGGCAAAUCCGGAUAAUCAAGGCUGAGGUGUGAUGACGAGGCACUACGGUGCUGAAGUAACAAAUGCCCUGCUUCCAGGAAAAGCCUCUAAGCAUCAGGUAACAUCAAAUCGUACCCCAAACCGACACAGGUGGUCAGGUAGAGAAUACCAAGGCGCUUGAGAGAACUCGGGUGAAGGAACUAGGCAAAAUGGUGCCGUAACUUCGGGAGAAGGCACGCUGGUGUGUAGGUGAAGUCCCUGCGGAUGGAGCUGAGACCAGUCGAAGAUACCAGCUGGCUGCAACUGUUUAUUAAAAACACAGCACUGUGCAAACACGAAAGUGGACGUAUACGGUGUGACGCCUGCCCGGUGCCGGAAGGUUAAUUGAUGGGGUUAUCCGUAAGGAGAAGCUCUUGAUCGAAGCCCCGGUAAACGGCGGCCGUAACUAUAACGGUCCUAAGGUAGCGAAAUUCCUUGUCGGGUAAGUUCCGACCUGCACGAAUGGCGUAAUGAUGGCCAGGCUGUCUCCACCCGAGACUCAGUGAAAUUGAACUCGCUGUGAAGAUGCAGUGUACCCGCGGCAAGACGGAAAGACCCCGUGAACCUUUACUAUAGCUUGACACUGAACAUUGAGCCUUGAUGUGUAGGAUAGGUGGGAGGCUUUGAAGCGUGGACGCCAGUCUGCGUGGAGCCAACCUUGAAAUACCACCCUUUAAUGUUUGAUGUUCUAACGUUGGCCCCUGACCGGGGUUGCGGACAGUGUCUGGUGGGUAGUUUGACUGGGGCGGUCUCCUCCCAAAGCGUAACGGAGGAGCACGAAGGUUAGCUAAUCCUGGUCGGACAUCAGGAGGUUAGUGCAAUGGCAUAAGCUAGCUUGACUGCGAGCGUGACGGCGCGAGCAGGUGCGAAAGCAGGUCAUAGUGAUCCGGUGGUUCUGAAUGGAAGGGCCAUCGCUCAACGGAUAAAAGGUACUCCGGGGAUAACAGGCUGAUACCGCCCAAGAGUUCAUAUCGACGGCGGUGUUUGGCACCUCGAUGUCGGCUCAUCACAUCCUGGGGCUGAAGUAGGUCCCAAAGGGUAUGGCUGUUCGCCAUUUAAAGUGGUACGCGAGCUGGGUUUAGAACGUCGUGAGACAGUUCGGUCCCUAUCUGCCGUGGGCGCUGGAGAAUUGAGGGGGGCUGCUCCUAGUACGAGAGGACCGGAGUGGACGCAUCACUGGUGUUCGGGUUGUCAUGCCAAUGGCACUGCCCGGUAGCUAAAUGCGGAAGAGAUAAGUGCUGAAAGCAUCUAAGCACGAAACUUGCCCCGAGAUGAGUUCUCCCUGAGACUAUAAGUCUCCUGAAGGAACGUUGAAGACGACGACGUUGAUAGGCCGGGUGUGUAAGCGCAGCGAUGCGUUGAGCUAACCGGUACUAAUGAACCGUGAGGCUUAACCUUACAACGCCGAAG
rnacentral:rRNA from 1 species